CAAGAGGAAGGAUGUCAGAGAGAGAAUUCUAGUUUCUGUCAUCCCAGCCUGUUUCCAUGUUCCUUAUUAUAGACUGACUGGAAGACAUUUAAGGAGUUGACUACAGUAUGCAGUUACUGUGUACUUAGGUCAUUUCCUCUUAGAUUUACAAAGGUUAUUAAUGAAAUUCUCAUUUCAGCUUAUUGGUAAUAUUUCAGUAUUCUAAAAUAAAAUCAGUUUCUGUGGGUGAUUUUAUUCCCUGUCUUUCCAGAGAUGUCUCUGGAAAGACAGGGAAUAAAAUGUCUCUACUGUACAUUUCCAGGCUCUACCAAAGAAAACAUUAAGUGUUAGUAAUAUCCCAAAGCAUAUUCAUGGUGUGAACCAUGUCUUGUUCUGGCCCUGUGGGAAAAAUAUACGAAGUUACCAAUGCACUUGCCUAAACAUGCCUCCCCUGUUGCUGCAAUAAAAACAAAGCAACAAGGAAGAUUUCUUCUUCAUCAGAAAAUACUGGGAAUUCUAAGACUCCAGUAGUCACUUACCAGCUCAUGGUGUGUAGAGUUGACUUCUCACCCGUUCAAAAACUCUAUUUGCCUUGAGUUAGCAGGGGCUUUUAUUUUUUUUACCUAUUAACUGGAAUUAUUCUACCCAUAAGAAAUGAUUGUUCUGACUGCCAAAACCCAGAGACUGAUUUUAACAGGAAAGAAAAGUUUUUGUAGAUCAAACACAGAUCUCUGGUUUUCCAAGGUAUCCAUAGUGGUAAAGUGCCCAGUGGAGUAGAAUUUAAUUCAGUCAUCACCUACAUUGGUUAUUGUACUAGCUGGGAAGAUUCAAUUUUGAUGCCUUUUGGUACCUCAAGUUUGUUUUAAGGCCAGAUGGAACCACAAGAUUCUCUGUAAUAGAUUCUUGUAGGAGAAAUGGGGUAAAAAAUUGUGGUCUCCUACAUUGUGUGUUUUAGGUGGUAUUUUUCUUGUUUGUUGGGGUUUUGGUUGGCUGGAUUUUGGAGGGGGUUUAUUUGGAUUUCUAAUUUAUUUAACUAAAUCAUCUUCUACAAAGACUUGAUCUGGAUUUCAAUAUAUCAAAAGAGGAUCUGCCACUUUCCCAAAUAGCUUAUUCUAAUAAUUAAAUCUUCACUAUGAAUUUUCUCUGGUCUGACUUCAGCAUUCUGCUAUAGUUUUCAGUAUGCUUCCUUCAUCCAGUUAAAGAACCUUUAACUAAUUAGUACUGGGUUUUUUUUUAUGAAUACAGAUUUACAUAGUCUAAGCUAUUGUAAUGCUACUUCUGCAACUGUCUCAAAUCUUUCUCCCAGGGUAUUCAGUGGCUCGUGUUUCAGAGAUCCAAGGGCAUCAGUGUAAAAAUGUAAGCUUGGCUCAGACUUCUGAGAAAAUAGUUCAGUUGUGACAGAGAGCUGUGAACGAGUCUGCAGAAAAGUGCUAUGCAAGAUAUGCAAGGGAAGAUUACAGAGAGAUGAUUGUUAAUAGUUCAAAGAUGCAAAAAAAGCACCAACAUAGAGAUACAUGAAGUCCUGGUUAGGGUGAGGAAAUACAAAUCAGAAAAUAGAGAGUGAGUGUUAAGAUGGAAAUUCAGUACUAUUAAGGAAGAAGCAAAGACUGACACUUCUGACUGAUAACCAAGAUGGUGGCUGAAUGCAAGACAAGGAUGACUUUUCAAUAAGAGACAAGAAGGGAGCACUUCCCAAUCGCUGCUCUCCCUCACCCCAUUGCCAAUGCCACCAACAACUACAGGAGUGGUAGUAGCAGAGUAUCUUCUAGAAAACCUCUUGGUUCAAAAAAAAGGUUGACCAGAGAAUUUGUGGAUGCACUAUUGCUUGAAGUGUUCAAGGCCAGACUGGACAGAACUUGGAGCAACCUGGUCUAGUGGAAGGUGCCCAUGUCCAUGACAGGUACUCUUACCUUCUAAGAAUUGAUCCAGUGCAUGGUUAGUGUAGCAGACUAUAAGGAUGGGACGUUUCUGGUGUGUGUCUUGCCACACGACAUCAUUAGUCAAGAGAGCCUGAACAAUCUUCAAACCCACCCCUUUUUCUAACUGCUAAAGAGAGUGCCAUGCUUGUACACUUGACCUACGAAGAUACUGGAAAACAAAACCUCUUUCCAUAGAACUGAAAGCAGAAGUAAGAAGGUGAAAGAUUAAGUUUUCUGCACAGGACAUUUCCUCGGUAGGAACAUCAGUCAUCAGUGAAAUAAUACAGAGGACGUCACAGCUGCCUUGAACUGGCUGUACAUAGCACACGAAAAACAUGAAGCCUCUUGCCGAAGCCCAGGCUCUCGGAGUAGCAGGAAGCUCAGCCCUUAGUGCCCUUCUCAGACUCCCCACAGGACGCUGAGGAAAGAACUGAUUGCUGGCACGAACAAGAAGCAAGAGGCUGCUGAAACAAAUCACCGCAUCAUGGCCCCAAACAGACUCCAAGGACAAAUAAAGAAGUGUUGAAACUCA